ACAUACGACCAUACCCACUGGAAUAUACGGGAUCCCGUCCGCUCUCCCCUAGUCAAACCAGUGAGGGCCGAACUAGUACUCAGGUGGGUGACCACUGGGGAAUCCUCGGUGUUGUAUGUUCUU
rnacentral:rRNA from 1 species